ensembl:lncRNA novel transcript, sense intronic to GNG7
CUUUUACUUUUACUUUUUAUUUUUUUAGAGACAGAAUCUCCCUCUGUCGCCCAGGCUGGAGAGCAGUGGCGCGAUCAACGCUCAGUGCAGCCUCCACCUCCCCGGUUCGAGCGAUUCUCCUGCCUCGGUCUCCUGAGUAGAUGGGAUUACAGGCGCCCGCCAGCAUGCCCGGCUAAUUUUUAAUUUUUUGUAGAGACCUGGUGUUGCUCUCUUGGCCAGGCUGGUCUCGACCUUCUGAGCCCAAGUUAUCCUCCCACCUUGGCCUCUCCAAGUGCUGGGAUUACAGGCGUGAGCCAUUGCACCCGGCCUAAGAGAUAUUUUUAAAUGGUAUUAUCAAAUAAAUCAUUAAAUAGAUUCGGGCUAUGCACCGUCUUGCCCACCUGCCUUCAAGCCCCACGCAGGACGGGACCCCCUCCUGCCACGGUCCUGGGACGGGGCACCUCGAGCUCACUCAGUGGUGACAGCGAGGCCGCCUGUCGGGCCAUGACCAGCAGGUGGCAGCACAGACCAGCUCCCGGGAGACCUGUCCUGGCUCCAGCUCCCAGCGUCCCAGAAACACCGCAGUCUAGACGCUCGCCAGGCGGAAUUCCUCGCCCCUGAAGUCAGUCUGCGUGUAGACAUUCGCGAUACCAGCUCCCAGUCAUCAUUUCCCACUCUGCGUCUCCCAGGCUGUCUCGCCAGGGCCCUGGAUCCCUGGGCUGAGCGGCUUAGUAAGGGUCGGGGUGGCGGGGAACCCUGGGCGCCGCACCCGGUGCGAGGGGCCCACUUCCCAGAAAGCAGAUUGCGAGAGGGAAGCCAUCCAAGGCCGGUGCCGGGCGUGGUCCUUUCUGAGAAUGUUGAGGACGCUUCCCCCCCCCCGAGCCUGGCACGUGAGCCCGUUCCCCCCCUCCCACCCGCCCCCUCGUCCCCACCGCCUGAUAGGAACUGAAAGUGUCAAGUUUAGUGCCCAGGAGACAGGUGUCUGCACGCUCAGGCCGACUGAAACCAAACCUGGCCUGGGAGAAACGUAUCCCAGGGGCCACCUGGGUCCCUGAGGCCGCUUUGGUUCAAACCUCUUCUGAAACCUGUCAGCAUCUUGCAACAAUAAAAGAGGGUCUCUUGUGCCUGCAAUCCCAGCACUUUGGGAGGCUGAGGCGGGAGGAUCGCUUAAGCCCAGGAGUUUGAGACCAGCCUGGACAAGACAGCAAGACCCCGUCUCUACUAAAAAAUAAAAAAAUUAGUGGCCGGGCGUGAUAGCUCAUGCCUGUAAUCCCACCACUUUGCGAGGCGGGUGGAUCACCUGAGGUCAGGAGUUUGAGAUCAGCCUGGCCAACAUGGUGAAACCCCGUCUCUACUGAAAACACAAAAAUUAGCUGAGCGUGGUGGCAGUUGCCUGUAAUCCCAGCUACUCAGGAGGCUGAGGCAGGAGAAUCGCUUGAACCCAGGAGGCAGAGGUUGCAAUGACCCAGGAUCACACCACUACACUCCAGCCUGGGCGACAGAGCAAGACUCUGUCUUAAAAAAGUAAUAAUAAAUAAAUAAAAAUUAAAAAAAAAAAAGCCAGGUGUGGCAGUGCACACCUAUAGUCCAAGCUGCUCGGGAGGCUGAGGCAGGAGUAUUGCUUGAGUCCAGGAGGCUGAGGCUGCAGUGAGCCAUGAUUGCACCACUGCACUCCAGUCUGGGCGACAGGGUGAGACCCUGUCUCCAAAAAAAAUAAAAAAUUAAUAAU